rnacentral:misc_RNA from 1 species
AACGGUCUAUACCUGCGGUACCUGCGGAAGGAUCAUUACAUGAUUUGAGGGGGCUCGCGUCCCCUCAUCCAACCCACAAACCCCGAGGAAACUUUAUGUCGAGUGGUUCGGCGCUCUCUUUGAGAGCCGCCCCUCAAACGCAUCGCAGGCUUUUCGUGAGGGUCUGAUGUGUCACAUCGUGAGUAUAAAAACUUUCAACAACGGAUCUCU